rnacentral:rRNA from 1 species
UUUGUGGAGAGUUUGAUCCUGGCUCAGGACUAACGCUGGCGGCGUGCUUAACACAUGCAAGUCGAACGUGUUCGUAUUUGGUAGCAAUAUUGAAUACGGAAAAGUGGCGAACGGGUGAGUAAUACGUAGGUGAUCUGCCUCGGAGACGGGAACAACCCAGGGAAACUUGGGAUAAUGCCCGAUACGACAUUCUGGAGGGAUCUGGAAUGUGAAAAGGGGUAAUACGCUCUGAGAUGAGCCUGCGGCCUAUCAGUUAGUUGGUGGGGUAAAAGCCUACCAAGACGAAGACGGGUAGCCGGCCUGAGAGGGUGAACGGCCACACUGGGACUGAGACACGGC